GUGAGGAAUAUUGGUCAAUGGGCGGGAGCCUGAACCAGCCAAGUCGCGUGAAGGAAGAAGGAUCUAUGGUUCGUAAACUUCUUUUGCAGGGGAAUAAAGUGCAGGACGUGUCCUGUUUUGUAUGUACCCUGAGAAUAAGGAUCGGCUAACUCCGUGCCAGCAGCCGCGGUAAUACGGAGGAUCCGAGCGUUAUCCGGAUUUAUUGGGUUUAAAGGGUGCGUAGGUGGUUUGAUAAGUCAGCGGUGAAAGUUUGCAGCUUAACUGUAAAAAUGGCGUUGAAACGGUCGGACUUGAGUGUAAAUGAGGUAGGCGGAAUGCGUAGUGUAGCGGUGAAAUGCAAAGAUAUCCCGCAGAACUCCGAUUGCGAAGGCAGCUUACUAAGCUACAACUGACACGGAAGCGCAAAAGCGUGGGGAUCAAACAGGAUUAGAAACCCGGGUAGUCC
rnacentral:rRNA from 1 species